GACCUCGAUCAUGAUUAGGGCCUCUUAGAACGGACACAAUACGAGUUUAAAAAUAUAUACAGUAGUGGGUGUUGUGAGUGACCUUUGUUCCUUCUGCCUUAGACAGAAAGCCUUGUUUUUCAGUAAGCCUUACACAGUCUUAUAUAGCUUGUGGGAUUUUUUUUACCUCAUGUGGCUGUCAGUUUAAGAUACUCGGGUGGAAUAUUUAACUCGGAUGCUUUUCACCUUCUUCUCUCGCUCUUUGCAUGAAGCAGCACAGGUUUCUUCUCCUGAGCGAGCAGAGUGUCUCUCAUAAAAACUAUGGCAGCUAAAUCUGGGAUUUUUGUGAUUUCUCCUUCACAGGUCUCGGUUCAAAAUAUUCAGUCUUGCUGAGAAAGCCCCUUCACACACAGGGAGAUCUAGAGCAGCCAGUAAACUAGAUCAUGUCUCUUUCCUCCUCAGGAAUGCAGCAGAGGAAAGCAGCUUCCUAAGAUGUCUUCCUUGGGGUCAGGGGCUCCCAAUAAGAGAAGGGGAGUCAGCACUUGGAGGAAAAAUUGUACAACACACAUGACGCUGUCCAGGAGAAGGCAAAGAUGGUUUUGCCCUGAUGGAUUUGGCACUCCUGUGAGAGAUGUCUGGGGGGCUGCUUUGGUUAGCAAAAACAUUCUUGAGGCUGUGAUAUAGCCCAGAAUAUCUUUGGUGCUCCAUGCUACAUAGAUAUUAACUCUAUUACAUUCCUUGUCUCAUGGCCACUAAAUUAAUGAAGGAAUUAGCAUAAAGAUGCUUCUACUGAGAUGCAGCUUUCCCUGACGUCGGUGGCACCGCUCCCGCCUUGUUUGCCAGCAGAAAUGGGAGCAGAGCGGAGAGGUCAGGGGAUCUUCCCCUUUGCUCACAAACAUAUUUGGCCUGAUAUUUCUCCCCCUGAAGGGAUGAGCAUCUCCUCGCCUGGCCUCCCUGCCCCCCGGGCCUGACCCCCACCAGCCCACCCUGCAGCUGUGGGAGCCGGGGGGCUGCAGGUGGAGCCCUGGGGGGGCACGUGUGGCCGCUGCCACAGGGUGGGCAGGGGGGUGAGGGGCUGUGACGAGGCCUCCCCUGUUGCCCCUGCCCCAGCGGGGAGCAGGGCUGCUGCUAAGCUGCGCCAAAUCCCCCUUAAAAACCUGUGGUUUGGUGUCUUGCUGGGUUUUAUUUCUCUCUCCUGUUCCUCUCUCGCCCUGGAGUUCUGUAGUAGCCCUGAAUUAGCAUGUCACGUGUAUGGCAUGUGGAAAUGAAUCAGGGGCAUGUGAGGAGGAGGAGGACGCCUGUGUCUGUGUUUGCAUCCAAGGAUCUCCUCUCACUCGGUGUUUGCGUAGGUGUCUAGCUCCCUGCUCCCCUCCCCUCCCUGCCUGCCUCGCUCUCCCUGCCUCCCUCUCAUCCCUCCAUCUGGCCAGCCCAGCUCUCCCUGCCAGCUCAAGCAAUACCUCAGGCAGAAAAUGCAGAU